ensembl:lncRNA
AGAUAGUGUGAAAAAGUUCAUUAUGGAUUUAUAUGAAGUCUGUAUGGCGUUAGGAGCAGCCGUAGUCCCAGCAGUCUGGAAUUAAAGAAGAUUUGAGCUCCAUCCAGAGGCAGAAAGGAUCUGGAUCUCUAGUAUCUCCAUAAAUUCGUGUGGGGCUCGGCGAAAGGACAGAGGGAGAAAAAUGAAUAACGUGCCACCUUUUUUUUUUUUUAAUCUUUAUUUGAACUUGUUUAAAACACAUUAUCGGUCCGUUCCAAAUACUCAGUUACAUCCCUAACACAAACGAAUCCAAAUAAGUCAAACUCCAGACUAAAACCUCAGACCCACCAGAACAAUCAAAACUCAACCACACUCAGUCUUACCAGUCUUACUUCAUUUCCUCAGGAUAUCACGAGAUGUUGCUCACAAAAAUGUUCAUGCAUUGCCAAGAGAGGAAAAAAAUGAGCUAAGUAUUAAGAAUACAAACAUGUCCAAUAAAGGGAACGUUAAAAUGAUGUCUCAGAAUCUUUUACGAGUGUCCAAGACUAAAGCCAAAGACCAAAGUUGCAAAAGUUAUCAUGAUAACUGAGAAAGAGAGAGAGAGAGAGAGAGAGAGAGAGAGAGAGAGAGAGAGAGAGAGAGAGAGAGAGAGAGAGUGUUUAAUUGAAAGCUCACACAACCAUUGCUCAUCGAAUGCUUCCGUGAACCUCAGUCCAGAUCUUUCAGUCAGCUUCAGCUGAUUUCACAACUCGUUCCAACGUUUCCCCAAAAUUCCACAUAGAUGUUGACGUGAACAUUCCCCGAAGCGCAGCAGGUGUUUUUAACGUGUUAUUACACUGAUUCUGCCUGCAUAAGACCCUCUAUAGCAUUGUUUACAAAUCCUGCCUGCUUUUACGCUCGAACAGAUUUGACUCAACAUUUCAGCCCAUUAGGAAGCACUUUAUGAGCUAGACGUGUGUUUCUGAGUCAGAAAAUGGACUAAAUGAGCACAACAAAGAGCCUACACCAGCCUGCAAACAUUAAAAUGACUUGCACUGGGAGCUGUAAAUGCAGGAGUCUUUGGAAGACUUUGCAUCAGUUCGGUAUCCUCCACAUGAUUCACUGCAAUAAAUGAAAAUGUACAAAAACAAACAAUAAACCCUGCAAAUUUCGCCACAGUCCGGUUGGUUGGUUGGAUGGAUGGAUGGAUGGAUGGAAGGAAGGAAAGAAAAAGAAAAUGUGAAUCAUCUAUUUAAGAAAGAAAGAAAGAAAGAAAGAAAGAAAAUGGGAAUAAUCUAAGGAAGAAAGAAAGAAAGAAAAUGGGAAUAAUCUAAGGAAGAAAGAAAGAAAGAAAAUGGGAAUAAUCUAGUUAAGAA